rnacentral:rRNA from 1 species
UACGAAGGGGGCUAGCGUUGUUCGGAAUUACUGGGCGUAAAGCGUGCGCAGGCGGCUUUUUAAGCCAGAGGUGAAAUCCCGGGGCUUAACUCCGGAAUUGCCUUUGGGACUGCAAGGCUUGAGAACGGGAGAGGUGAGUGGAAUUCCUAGUGUAGAGGUGAAAUUCGUAGAUAUUAGGAAGAACACCAGUGGCGAAGGCGGCUCACUGGCCCGGUACUGACGCUGAGGUGCGAAAGCGUGGGGAGCAAACAGG